UACGAGUGCCUCAAGCGUUAUCCGGAAUCAUUGGGCGUAAAGGAUGUGUAGGUGGUUGUGUUAGUCUUUUGUUAAAUUCUUCGGGCUUAACCGGGGGCAUGCAAGGGAAACGGCACGACUAGAGGAUGCGAGGGGUCUGUGGAACUCAUAGUGUAGCGGUGAAAUGCGUUGAUAUUAUGGGGAACACCAAAAGCGAAGGCAGCAGACUGGAGCACUCCUGACACUGAAACAUGAAAGCGUGGGUCGCGAAUGGG
rnacentral:rRNA from 1 species